UAAAUUCUUCAUUCAUUCAUUUGAUAAUGAUUACAAUGAUCAUUCCCUGAUUUAUAGCAUUUGUAUUGUAACAAUUUAACCUAUGAUUCAUCCUAAUAGAUCCCUCUAGAUCCUUCUAGAAUGCAUGAAUCAUUACUUAAUGCAACUUAGGUCUAUUAUAUUCUUAUAAGCCUAACUUUGAUCAUUACAAUUUGUUAACACAUUAAAACCGGAGACCUAGAAAUGAAUACAAUCUGAUAUCUCAAGUCUAGGCCAAACCCGUCGUUAACUUCAUAACUUAGAUUCGAAGAAAACUUAAAUAAUUUUCCAUACUUGUUAAACAAAUUGGAUUUCUCAAAACGGUUCCAGCAAUGAAUUAAUGCAACAUUAGGUAAGAGCAUCCAGGUUUGACAAUUACAUUAAGCUUACUUGCAAAGUAGUCACAUGAAAGCAAUUUCGAUGUUUCCUCUGAUUUUGACUCCAUGUGAUAUUUGUCUCUUCAAGCUUCUAUCUUUAACAAAUUUACAAUUUCAAAUAUUACAAAUAUAACAUGCCAGGUGUAAAAA
rnacentral:lncRNA from 1 species